rnacentral:rRNA from 1 species
AGCUAAGGUCCCAAAGUCAUGGUUAAGUGGGAAACGAUGUGGGAAGGCCCAGACAGCCAGGAUGUUGGCUUAGAAGCAGCCAUCAUUUAAAGAAAGCGUAAUAGCUCACUGGUCGAGUCGGCCUGCGCGGAAGAUGUAACGGGGCUAAACCAUGCACCGAAGCUGCGGCAGCGACACUGUGUGUUGUUGGGUAGGGGAGCGUUCUGUAAGCCUGUGAAGGUGUGUCGUGAGGCAUGCUGGAGGUAUCAGAAGUGCGAAUGCUGACAUAAGUAACGAUAAAGCGGGUGAAAAGCCCGCUCGCCGGAAGACCAAGGGUUCCUGUCCAACGUUAAUCGGGGCAGGGUGAGUCGACCCCUAAGGCGAGGCCGAAAGGCGUAGUCGAUGGGAAACGGGUUAAUAUUCCCGUACUUGGUGUUACUGCGAAGGGGGGACGGAGAAGGCUAUGUUGGCCGGGCGACGGUUGUCCCGGUUUAAGCGUGUAGGUGUGUGUUCCAGGUAAAUCCGGUUCACUUUAACACUGAGGCGUGACGACGAGGCACUACGGUGCUGAAGCAACAAAUGCCCUGCUUCCAGGAAAAGCCUCUAAGCAUCAGGUAACAUCAAAUCGUACCCCAAACCGACACAGGUGGUCAGGUAGAGAAUACCAAGGCGCUUGAGAGAACUCGGGUGAAGGAACUAGGCAAAAUGGUGCCGUAACUUCGGGAGAAGGCACGCUGACACGUAGGUGAAGUGAUUUACUCAUGGAGCUGAAGUCAGUCGAAGAUACCAGCUGGCUGCAACUGUUUAUUAAAAACACAGCACUGUGCAAACACGAAAGUGGACGUAUACGGUGUGACGCCUGCCCGGUGCCGGAAGGUUAAUUGAUGGGGUCAGCGCAAGCGAAGCUCCUGAUCGAAGCCCCGGUAAACGGCGGCCGUAACUAUAACGGUCCUAAGGUAGCGAAAUUCCUUGUCGGGUAAGUUCCGACCUGCACGAAUGGCGUAAUGAUGGCCAGGCUGUCUCCACCCGAGACUCAGUGAAAUUGAACUCGCUGUGAAGAUGCAGUGUACCCGCGGCAAGACGGAAAGACCCCGUGAACCUUUACUAUAGCUUGACACUGAACAUUGAGCCUUGAUGUGUAGGAUAGGUGGGAGGCUUUGAAGUGUGGACGCCAGUCUGCAUGGAGCCGACCUUGAAAUACCACCCUUUAAUGUUUGAUGUUCUAACGUGGACCCGUUACCCGGGUUGCGGACAGUGUCUGGUGGGUAGUUUGACUGGGGCGGUCUCCUCC